AUGUUCUUCUGGAAAGCCCAGAGGACAUCUCCACCCAUAUUUACUCCUUCUAUAAGGAGCUGUUCUCGGCUGAGCCACACGGAAGCGUCUCUCUCUCUUUGCACUGACUUCUGGCCGCUUGCUGACCAGGUCUCCGAUGCAGAGAAUGCGGAUCUUACUCUCCCAUUCUCUCCUGAGGAGGUGGGUCGAGCGAUUGCCUCUAUGAAGGCUUGCUCGGCCCCGGGACCGGAUGGUCUCCCGGUAGUCUUUUUCCAGAAAUUCUGGGAGAUCUUACGCCCGGUCAUUAUGCGCAUGUUUCAUGAGUUCUAUAUAGGAACCUUGGACAUGGCUAGGAUUAACUAUGGUGUCAUAUCCCUGAUCCCCAAAGUAGUUGGGGCGACGGAUAUUCGGCACUUCCGCCCCAUCACGGUGAUCAACGUGUUGGAGCGAAUCUUUGCAAAGGUUUGCGCAACUCGCUUAUCCCCGGUGGCGGAAAGGAUUGCCCACCCCCUCUAG
rnacentral:rRNA from 1 species